rnacentral:rRNA from 1 species
UACAGAGGUCUCAACCGUUGUUCGGAUUCAUUGGGCGUAAAGGGUGCGUAGGCGGUCGUGCAAGUCGGAUGUGAAAUCUCAGGGCUCAACCCUGAAACUGCAUUCGAUACUGCGCGGCUAGAGUGCUGGAGGGGAGACUGGAAUUUACGGUGUAGCAGUGAAAUGCAUAGAUAUCGUAAGGAAGACCAGUGGCGAAGGCGAGUCUCUGGACAGCAACUGACGCUGAGGCACGAAGGCCAGGGGAGCAAACGGG